CAGAGUGGGCAGGGUGGGGCUUUCUCAUUGUAUUUAAGCCCCAGCUGGCGCCACAGAACUGCCCCAGGCUCAGCCUUUGCCCCUUUCCCAACCCGGCAGAGAGCAAGGACACCUGUGCUGCUGAUGUGUGAAUGGGUCCAGCCCAUGGAAGACAGGGGGCCUUGACCGAGAGAAUGAAGAGAAGGCAGAGAAAGGCGGGAGGUGGGCCCUGGCGCCCCCUGGGAGAGCCCCUGUAUCGGCAGUUACAGGGGAGGGGGGAGGGGACACUCCUCGAGCCAAGAGGCUCCUGCAGUUGUUCCCUGGCUCUGUGGUCUGGGGGGGUCUCCACCUGGUGUCCUCCAGCCCCAGCCCCAGCCCCGCUUUCCCAGCUAAAGCCACCCCUCCCCUCCACCCUCCUCUUCUGGCUGUAGUGGAAUUUAAGGCCAGGAAUAAAUAAAGAACAGAGGAAUUAC